UAGUGUUAUUCUCCAUGCAUAGCAGUUUUCACAUUCUAAUUUAAAUCUAACAAUUCCUACCUCAAAUUUUAGGCUCCUUCUCUGAAAAGAGAUCUAAGCCACAUAAUUUGAGAUUGCAAAAACAAGGAGAAUCUGAUUGUCUCAUUUUUGGAUAUUCUCACACCAAAUAUGCAAGUUAUGGCAAGAUCAAGAAACUAAUAAACAAUAAAUGUGAAUAAAAUUA
rnacentral:misc_RNA from 1 species